AUACAAUUAAGACUAGCACUCUCAGCUAGUUCAUAAAAUUGUGGUUAUAUCUAUAGUUCAAAAUUUGGUAGUGGUUGGUUAAUUGGGUGUGCUAAGUGUAUGUGAAAUUUUGUGAUAAUCUUACAAUGUAAUUGAAAGAUAUCUCAAUUUUGGUAUAAGAAGGUAUAUAAAAUUGGUAGUUUGGGAUCGGAAAGUGAUUCUAUGAUAUCUAAAGAUCUACUAGACGAAUCAAAGUGAAAUUUGACAUGAUAUUAGAUGACUUAAAGAUCAAGUUGCAUACUAAGUUUGAGUUGAAGUUAAUAAUUAGAAAAGGAAAAAUCACUGCAAGAACAUUUGUAUCAUCUUUUAAGUUGGCAACCAAGGAAUAUUGGUGUGGUUUUUGGAUGUUUUCUCAUGAUUUGUAAGUUGGAUUGAGGUAAAUUCUUUUUGAGUACAUAAAAGACUUAUAGUAGCAUUUAUAUGCAAAAUUUUGCUCCAAGUAGAUUUGGAGCUACAACUUGCUAAAGUUUAUUGAUUAAGAUUAGGACUUACAUAAAAAAGUCAAAAUUACCUAAUGAUAAAAGUAAUAAGGCAAUUGGAAUUUAUGUAUGGUUGAAAUUACUAAGAAGAGUAUUUUUGAGUACUUUUUAUUGAAUUUAAGCACUUUGGAAUUAAAAUUCAAAUUGUAUUUUUUUAUGAAGGCAAAAAAUAUUAAGAUUCUUGGUUA
rnacentral:lncRNA from 1 species